rnacentral:rRNA from 1 species
GACGAACGCUGGCGGCGUGCUUAACACAUGCAAGUCGAACGCUGAAGCUCAGCUUUUGUUGGGUGGAUGAGUGGCGAACGGGUGAGUAACACGUGAGUAACCUGCCUCCUUCUUUGGGAUAACGCCCGGAAACGGGUGCUAAUACUGGAUAUUCACUGGUCUUCGCAUGGGGGUUGGUGGAAAGGGUUUUUCUGGUGGGGGAUGGGCUCGCGGCCUAUCAGCUUGUUGGUGGGGUGAUGGCCUACCAAGGCUUUGACGGGUAGCCGGCCUGAGAGGGUGACCGGGCACAUUGGGACGGAGAUGCGGCCCAGACUCCUACGGGAGGCAGCAGUGGGGAAUAUUGCACAAUGGGCGAAAGCCUGAUGCAGCGACGCCGCGUGAGGGAUGGAGGCCUUCGGGUUGUGAACCUCUUUCGCUCAUGGUCAAGCCGCAACAAUGGUUGUGGUGAGGGUAGUGGGUAAAGAAGCGCCGGCUAACUACGUG